GUAACUUUCAGUAGCUCUCUAGGCCUGGGUACCGGAGGGAGGGAGGCGGGCAGAGGAGGGGAGAUGGGCACCCCCAGUCUUUCCAUCCUCCUCAUUCGUCUAGGGGCACCCGAAUCCCCUAUUCCUUAUUUCCCCUAUCACUCAGGCACUGGCAGGGUCCUUUGCCCACUCCUGUUGGCCGCUGCGGCUCCAAAGCGAGAUGUGCCUGAGACAGGUUUGACCAGGCAACUGAAAAGACAUCCCUAAGAGAAGACAAAGCAAAGGUAUGAAAGGAACACACGUCCCUGACUGACUAGGAGGAACAGAGCUGCCUGCUAUCCGGAACAACUUCCUCCCAGACUAAGGUUUCCCAGAGGAAGAGAGAGAAUUUGGACAAAUGAAUGAGGAACAAUGCUCUCCUGAGAGUUUCUUUAAGGGGCGAGAGUCACUGCCACUAGCUCCUUUGAAAGCAGAAUUAAGAGGCAGUGCAGGAAGGCACAGCAGGAAGGCUCAUGGUUAGACUACAGAGAAGGAAACAGCCACUGCUGGGGACCUACCCUGUGCUGGUCACUGACAAGCUGCCUCAUUAAACCUUCCCAGACCCUCAACCCCUCCUAGUAUCUUAUCCUCAUUUUACAGAUGAGAAGACUGUGGCCCAGAGAGGUAAAGAUCUGGGGAGCAGGAUG
rnacentral:lncRNA from 1 species